GAUGAACGCUGGCGGCGUGCCUAAUACAUGCAAGUCGAGCGAACAGACGAGGAGCUUGCUCCUCUGACGUUAGCGGCGGACGGGUGAGUAACACGUGGAUAACCUACCUAUAAGACUGGGAUAACUUCGGGAAACCGGAGCUAAUACCGGAUAAUAUAUUGAACCGCAUGGUUCAAUAGUGAAAGACGGUUUUGCUGUCACUUAUAGAUGGAUCCGCGCCGCAUUAGCUAGUUGGUAAGGUAACGGCUUACCAAGGCAACGAUGCAUAGCCGACCUGAGAGGGUGAUCGGCCACACUGGAACCGAGACACGGUCCAGACUCCUACGGGAGGCAGCAGUAGGGAAUCUUCCGCAAUGGGCGAAAGCCUGACGGAGCAACGCCGCGUGAGUGAUGAAGGUCUUCGGAUCGUAAAACUCUGUUAUUAGGGAAGAACAAAUGUGUAAGUAACUAUGCACGUCUUGACGGUACCUAAUCAGAAAGCCACGGCUAACUACGUG
rnacentral:rRNA from 1 species